CAAAUCUGGUUAGGUUUUCUACAAAUUAUGAAAUGUAACAAUUAACAACUUUUAUAUAAGGAAAAGAUGGUACAAGAUCUAAAAAAAGAAGCAAUGGUUAAUUACAUUAGUAGGUGGUAGGAAGAUGCAAUGAUAAAGAAACAAACACUUCAUCUUCAUUCCUCUGGGAAAAAAGUACAAAAAGAGUUAGUAUGGUGGGGACUGUGAGAGAGAUAGAGGGGGAAAGCUUUCCGGCAAAGGCAGCAACACCGAACGGAUUGUGGCUUUGGAGGAUGUUGUCAACAAGGCUGUGGAAUCGUCUGAGGCUCGCCAGGCGGAAUUUGCUGAUCAAAUCCAACAAUUAACCCAGGCGGUGGCGGAAUUAAUGGUGACUGUGGGUGGAUCUAAGAAGAAGCAAUCCAAAUACGACUCGCCAUCAGACCCCAGCGACGAGUCAGAUGAAGACUCGGAUUUGUCGGACAGAAGUUCAAGAUCAGGAGUUUCAAAGCGAUCGAGGAAAGGGAAAGAGGGAAAGAAACGAGACCUGGUCCGUGAUUGUAGGAAGAUGAAAUACCAAUUUUCUCAGGGGACGAUGCACAGGGCUGGCUUUACAAGGUUGAAAGAUAUUUUGAAUUGCAUCAAUUCCGUGGGAAGGAUAAAUUGAAAGCUGUGGGAAUCUGCUUAGAGGGAUCACCUCUGUCAUGGUUUCGUUGGAAGGAGGAGAAGUCGCCUUUUGGUUCAUGGUCUCGUUUUAAACGCAAGUUGCUGGAGAGGUUUCAACAAUCACAGGAAGGAAGUGUCAAAGAGCAAUUUCUUGACAUCCGUCAAGAGGGCACAGUUCGGGAGUAUGUUGACAAAUUUGAAGGGUUCGCGGGUCAGUUAUUGGGUGUUCCGGACGACAUAAUGGAGUGCACCUUCAUCAAGGGGCUGAAACCGGAAGUCCGGGCGGAGGUACGAAUUGCUGAACCGGUUUCACUGGAACAAGCAAUCAGGGUGGCAAUUAAGAUUGAUGAUAAUAAGGGGGGGCAGAAUUGUCAAAUCGGGUACGGCAGCAAAAUCAGGACCCGGUUCUGUGUCUAAGGGGGAACACGGGUUCCAAACCAAACCCAAUCAAGUUAAUACUAACCCAAGUCAGCUGAUGAAGAAAGAGAGUGGGCUUAAUUCAACUUUUAAAAGGCUCACAGAAGCAGAAUUUCUUGAUAAGAGGGCUAAGGGGUUAUGUUUUAAAUGUGACGGGAAGUUUGGGCCGGGUCACCGGUGCCCAAACAAAUCGUUGCAAGUUAUGAUGGUCCAUGAGGAGGGUGAUGAUGUGGAACCGGAGGAUGAAGAGGAGGAGCACGCUCACUUUGAUUCCUUGGAGGUUUCGCUGAAAUCAGUGAGUGGGUUAACCCCUCCUCACACGAUGAAGAUAUGGGCAGAAAUCGGAGGCAAUAAGGUGGUGGUAUUGAUAGACUGUGGGGCUACUCACUCGUUCAUCUCCAAGGCCACAGCGGGGAGGUUAGGGUUGGAGAGUUUGGGUAGGCGUAAGGUGGCAGUGACGCUAGGGAACGGGAGGACGGACACAAGUUGGGGGGCUUGCAAGGAGGUCAUACUAAACCUUCCUGAGACUGAAAUAAUUGAAGAUUUUUUUCUAUUGGACCUGGGCGGGUCGGAUCUCAUAUUAGGAAUGACUUGGCUGCAGCGUUUGGGGGAUAUGGUGGUCAAGCCUUGAUGAACAAGAUGACAAUGUAAAGAAGAAGAAACAAAACAGUUUAAGGAAGAAGAAGAUUUCAGUUUUACCUUGGUGGAAUAAGGGUCUUCUUAGUGAAAUUUAGGAGCCAUGUUUCGCCGUUGACAGAGUAAUAGAAGAAGUCGACCAUUGGAAGAUGAUCGGCUCCGACUCUACGAUUCUAACCAGAGGCAGGGGUGUCGACUUGGAAGAAGGAUACACUCAAUCCCUCCAAGGAGAAAAAUAAAGGAACACACACACCAAAGAAAAGAAAGAUUCAAAAAGAAAAAAGUCCAGCAAAACAAAAAUGACAACAGUCUCCAACACCAAAGAAAAGCAACAACUAGAAGAUUUAAAUUCAGAUUUCGAAAGAGUCCAUCCAAAAAGCUAAAGAAAAAGGAUUCACCAGAUAAGAAAGUACGAGUCGUAAAAGAAUUUUAUUCUAAGGAAAAUAGAUGUUCAAGAGUUGUUACCGACUAUCUUCCAGAGAACAAAAAGAAUGUGUACGAUCUUUGGCUACACCCAUCAACUCAUCAACCCACACACCAAAACAAGACGCCCACAGAGCGCCACCCGUGUGGGGGUGGGCUGUAAACAAGCCAUAAUUUCCCUGACCAGUCUAGGUUUGCAGGUUGUAGUUACAACCGUUUCGUAAUUAUCGCCAUGCUACAAUAAAAAUGAUUUAAAUUAGCUAAUUAUUUAGUGUUUCUAGACUAAAAUGGCCACUAUUCCAAAAUAGAAUUCAGGACCGUUCUUCGUAUUUUACAAGUUCUACGUAUUACGAACUAAAUGUUUGCAUUUCAAAGUAUAACAAUGUUGUUUUUUAGAGUUUUUA